GUUGAGAACCACUGCUCUAAAAGCAUUAGAUCCUAUUUGAUCUUGGAGAUAAAUAGGGGUAGCCCUGGUUAAUGCUUGGAUGGGAGACCUCCAAAGACUACCAGGUGCUGUAGGCU
rnacentral:rRNA from 1 species